rnacentral:rRNA from 1 species
GACGAACGCUGGCGGCGUGCUUAACACAUGCAAGUCGAACGGAAAGGCCCUGCUUUUGUGGGGUGCUCGAGUGGCGAACGGGUGAGUAACACGUGAGUAACCUGCCCUUGACUUUGGGAUAACUUCAGGAAACCGGGGCUAAUACCGGAUAGGAGCUCCUGCUGCAUGGUGGGGGUUGGAAAGUUUCGGCGGUUGGGGAUGGACUCGCGGCUUAUCAGCUUGUUGGUGGGGUAGUGGCUUACCAAGGCUUUGACGGGUAGCCGGCCUGAGAGGGGGACCGGCGACAUUGGGACUGAGAUACGGCCCAGACUCGUACGGGAGGCAGCAGUGGGGAAUAUUGCACAAUGGGCGGAAGCCUGAUGCAGCAACGCCGCGUGCGGGAUGACGGCCUUCGGGUUGUAAACCGCUUUCGCCUGUGACGAAGCGUGAGUGACGGUAAUGGGUAAAGAAGCACCGGCUAACUACGUG